rnacentral:rRNA from 1 species
CGCUGGCGGCGUGCCUAACACAUGCAAGUCGCACGAGAAAGCUCUCUUCGGGGAGUGAGUAGAGUGGCGCACGGGUGAGUAACGCGUGGGCAAUCUGCCCCCGAGUUGGGAAUAACCCCUCGAAAGGGGGGCUAAUACCGAAUAACAUCUCGAUCUCUUCGGAGGUUGAGAUCAAAGGUGGCCUCUGAUUCAAGCUACCGCUUGGGGAGGAGCCCGCGUCCCAUUAGCUUGUUGGUGGGGUAAUGGCCCACCAAGGGCUACGAUGGGUAGCCGGCCUGAGAGGGUGACCGGCCACACUGGAACUGAGA